CACACCUGUCCUUCACCUCUUCUUCAACAAUUCUAAACUUGUGUGCGAGGUAUUAAUUUUUUUUUCACUUCUCCAUUCUUAGAAUUCUUUCUUCUCAUCUUUUCAUUUCUUUACUCUCUUCUCCCUCUUCUCUUUCUAUUUAAAGCCGUUUUUCUCUUUAUAUAAAGAUUACAAUGGUUGAUUUCCAUGACCCCAUUUUAUUAUCGUGUCAAGAUACCUCAUUACAUUUUGUGGAAAGGCUUCCAAUAAUAAUCAAAUGAUUAUGUUUUUCCAAGAACAAGUUUUGCUGCCAAAUAGGAUACCAAAAGGUAACAUUGCUAUCACUGCAUACGCACCAUUGAAUAAGCCGAAAGACAGACGAGUGGCUAAUGAAUCUAGUGGUAACAAGAGGCAAGCCGUUGGAUCAAUGAUGAGGCCCACACAAAUGGCUAAAGUUAUGACAAAUGUUAGGAGAUCGAUUUAGCUGCCUUAUGCAACAACAUGAUGCUUUUUAAGAAAGUCUUGAUACAUUAGCGAAGCUUGCUUCCCGAAAAACAUCAAUGGCAAUGCUGUGUUCUGUGGAAUAACAGAGUCAGUCUGCUGUUUCACUUAUACUUAGAUUCAGUGGAAGCAGCGACUCAGCUAUUCGACGCUAUCAUUCAUGACACUCUUGUGCUCAUUCUGGCUAAAUGAAGGCGCCAUUAUAGGAGAUUCCCGGCUGGCUCCCAGCCCAAACGCGGAUGCCGAAUUCAAAACUAAAGAAUCAGGAAGCUGUGCAGUGUUUCCUGUUGACUGAUUGUGUUGAUGUUGUUGUUGUAAUUGUAAUGCUUGGUGUUGAGCAGCAAAUGCAUCUUCAUUGAUCAAUGAAUUGAGAAACGAAGACAAAAUGUCGUCGCUACAGUAA